rnacentral:rRNA from 1 species
GACGAACGCUGGCGGCGUGCUUAACACAUGCAAGUCGAACGGAAAGGCCCUGCUUUUGUGGGGUGCUCGAGUGACGAACGGGUGAGUAACACGUGAGUAACCUGCCCUUGACUUUGGGAUAACUUCAGGAAACUGGGGUUAAUACCGGAUAGGAGCUCCUGCUGCAUGGUGGGGGUUGGAAAGUUUCGGCGGUUGGGGAUGGACUCGCGGCUUAUCAGCUUGUUGGUGGGGUAGUGGCUUACCAAGGCUUUGACGGGUUGCCGGCCUGAGAGGGUGACCGGCCACAUUGGGACUGAGAUACGGCCCAGACUCCUACGGGAGGCAGCAGUGGGGAAUAGUGCACAAUGGGCGGAAGCCUGAUGCAGCAACUCCGCGUGCGGGAUGACGGCCUUCGGGUUGUAAAGCGCUUUCGCCUGUGACGAAGCGUGAGUGACGGUAAUGGGUAAAGAAGCACCGGCUAACUACGUG